CCUACGGGAGGCAGCAGUAGGGAAUAUUGCUCAAUGGGGGAAACCCUGAAGCAGCAACGCCGCGUGGAGGAUGAAGGUUUUCGGAUUGUAAACUCCUUUUGUUAGAGAAGAUAAUGACGGUAUCUAACGAAUAAGCACCGGCUAACUCCGUGCCAGCAGCCGCGGUAAUACGGAGGGUGCAAGCGUUACUCGGAAUCACUGGGCGUAAAGAGCGCGUAGGCGGGAUAGCAAGUCAGAUGUGAAAUCCUAGGGCUUAACCAUAGAACUGCAUUUGAAACUGUUAUUCUAGAGUAUGGGAGAGGUAGGUGGAAUUCUUGGUGGAGGGGUAAAAUCCGUAGAGAUCAAGAGGAAUACUCAUUGCGAAGGCGACCUGCUAGAACAUAACUGACGCUGAUGCGCGAAAGCGUGGGGAGCAAACAGGAUUAGAUACCCUUGUAGUC
rnacentral:rRNA from 1 species